UACGUAGGGGGCAAGCGUUGUUCGGAUUUAUUGGGUUUAAAGGGUGCGUAGGCGGCUUAUUAAGUCAGGGGUGAAAGACGGUGGCUCAACCAUCGCAGUGCCCUUGAUACUGAUGAGCUUGAAUACACUUGAGGUAGGCGGAAUGUGACAAGUAGCGGUGAAAUGCAUAGAUAUGUCACAGAACACCAAUUGCGAAGGCAGCUUACUAAGGUGCAAUUGACGCUGAGGCACGAAAGCGUGGGGAUCAAACAGG
rnacentral:rRNA from 1 species